UACGUAGGGUGCAAGCGUUGUCCGGAUUUAUUGGGCGUAAAGAGCUCGUAGGCGGUCUGUCGCGUCGGAUGUGAAAACCCGGAGCUCAACUCCGGGCCUGCAGUCGAUACGGGCAGACUGGAGUUCGGCAGGGGAGACUGGAAUUCCUGGUGUAGCGGUGAAAUGCGCAGAUAUCAGGAGGAACACCGGUGGCGAAGGCGGGUCUCUGGGCCGAUACUGACGCUGAGGAGCGAAAGCGUGGGGAGCGAACAGG
rnacentral:rRNA from 1 species